CAGUCGCCGCGGUAAUACGGAGGGGGCUAGCGUUGUUCGGAAUUACUGGGCGUAAAGCGCACGUAGGCGGCUUGGUAAGUUAGAGGUGAAAGCCCGGAGCUCAACUCCGGAAUUGCCUUUAAGACUGCCGAGCUAGUAGGUGAGAGAGGUAAGUGGAAUUCCGAGUGUAGAGGUGAAAUUCGUAGAUAUUCGGAAGAACACCAGUGGCGAAUGCGGCUUACUGGCUCAUUCUAGACGCUGAGGUGCGAAAGCGUGGGGAGCAAACAGGAUUAGAUACCCCCGUAGUCCCUGUCUCUUAUCA
rnacentral:rRNA from 1 species